rnacentral:rRNA from 1 species
GACGAACGCUGGCGGCGUGCCUAAUACAUGCAAGUUGAGCGCUGAAGGUUGGUACUUGUACCAACUGGAUGAGCAGCGAACGGGUGAGUAACGCGUGGGGAAUCUGCCUUUGAGCGGGGGACAACAUUUGGAAACGAAUGCUAAUACCGCAUAAAAACUUUAAACACAAGUUUUAAGUUUGAAAGAUGCAAUUGCAUCACUCAAAGAUGAUCCCGCGUUGUAUUAGCUAGUUGGUGAGGUAAAGGCUCACCAAGGCGAUGAUACAUAGCCGACCUGAGAGGGUGAUCGGCCACAUUGGGACUGAGACACGGCCCAAACUCCUACGGGAGGCAGCAGUAGGGAAUCUUCGGCAAUGGACGAAAGUCUGACCGAGCAACGCCGCGUGAGUGAAGAAGGUUUUCGGAUCGUAAAACUCUGUUGGUAGAGAAGAACGUUGGUGAGAGUGGAAAGCUCAUCAAGUGACGGUAACUACCCAGAAGGGGACGGCUAACUACG